UACGUAGGGUGCGAGCGUUGUCCGGAAUUAUUGGGCGUAAAGCGUCCGCAGGUGGCUAUUCAAGUCUGCGGUCAAAGACUGGGGCUUAACCCUGGAAAGGCCGUGGAAACUGAAGAGCUAGAGUGCAGUAGGGGUAGAGGGAAUUCCCGGUGUAGCGGUGAAAUGCGUAGAGCUCGGGAAGAACAUCGGUGGCGAAAGCGCUCUGCUGGACUGCAACUGACACUCAGGGACGAAAGCUAGGGGAGCGAAUGGG
rnacentral:rRNA from 1 species